rnacentral:misc_RNA from 1 species
UUUCCGUAGGUGAACCUGCGGAAGGAUCAUUAUCGAAUUAUGACUGGGUUAUGGCUGUCCUUCCGACGCAUGUUCGCGCACGGCCGAUCGACUCUACACCUAUCCACUUACUCUCUGUAUCAACUCGCGAAUCGGGCUCCUUUACCCGAGCUUGGGGAGCGGGUCUGGGUCUUCGUUUAUCACAAAAACUAUAGAGUAACAGAAUUUUUAUUUCUGUGUAACGCCUCUAUAUACAACUUUCAUCAACGGAUCUCUUGGCUCUCGCAUCGAUGAAGAACC